rnacentral:rRNA from 1 species
GUGCCAGCCGCCGCGGUAAUACGUAGGGGGCAAGCGUUGUCCGGAAUUAUUGGGCGUAAAGCGCGCGCAGGCGGUCUUUUAAGUCUGGUGUAUAAGUGCGGGGCUCAACCCCGUGAGGCACUGGAAACUGGGAGACUUGAGUGCAGAAGAGGAGAGCGGAAUUCCACGUGUAGCGGUGAAAUGCGUAGAGAUGUGGAGGAACACCAGUGGCGAAGGCGGCUCUCUGGACUGUAACUGACGCUGAGGCGCGAAAGCGUGGGGAGCAAACAGGAUUAGAUACCCUGGUAGUCCACGCCGUAAACGAUGAGUGCUAGGUGUUGGGGGGAUCGCCCCCUCGGUGCCGAAGUUAACACAUUAAGCACUCCGCCUGGGGAGUACGGUCGCAAGACUGAA